GAAAUGCGAUAAGUAGUGUGAAUUGCAGAAUUCAGUGAAUCAUCGAAUCUUUGAACGCACAUUGCGCCCUUUGGUAUUCCAAAGGGCAUGCCUGUUCGAGCGUCAUUUGUACCCUCAAGCUUUGCUUGGUGUUGGGCGUCUUGUCUCUAGCUUUGCUGGAGACUCGCCUUAAAGUAAUUGGCAGCCGGCCUACUGGUUUCGGAGCGCAGCACAAGUCGCACUCUCUAUCAGCAAAGGUCUAGCAUCCAUUAAGCCUUUUUUCAACUUUUGACCUCGGAUCAGGUAGGGAUACCCGCUGAACUUACGC
rnacentral:misc_RNA from 1 species